AGCUGAUGACGGUACCUGAAGAAUAAGCACCGGCUAACUACGUGCCAGCAGCCGCGGUAAUACGUAGGGUGCGAGCGUUAAUCGGAAUUACUGGGCGUAAAGCGAGCGCAGACGGUUACUUAAGCAGGAUGUGAAAUCCCCGGGCUCAACCUGGGAACUGCGUUCUGAACUGGGUGACUAGAGUGUGUCAGAGGGAGGUAGAAUUCCACGUGUAGCAGUGAAAUGCGUAGAGAUGUGGAGGAAUACCGAUGGCGAAGGCAGCCUCCUGGGAUAACACUGACGUUCAUGCUCGAAAGCGUGGGUAGCAAACAGGAUUAGAUACCCUGGUAGUCCACGCCCUAAACGAUGUCAAUUAGCUGUUGGGCAACUUGAUUGCUUAGUAGCGUAGCUAACGCGUGAAAUUGACCGCCUGGGGAGUACGGUCGCAAGAUUAAAACUCAAAGGAAUUGACGGGGACCCGCACAAGCGGUGGAUGAUGUGGAUUAAUUCGAUGCAACGCGAAGAACCUUACCUGGUCUUGACAUGUACGGAAUCCUCCAGAGACGGAGGAGUGCCUUCGGGAGCCGUAACACAGGUGCUGCAUGGCUGUCGUCAGCUCGUGUCGUGAGAUGUUGGGUUAAGUCCCGCAACGAGCGCAACCCUUGUCAUUAGUUGCCAUCAUUUAGUUGGGCACUCUAAUGAGACUGCCGGUGACAAGCCGGAGGAAGGUGGGGAUGACGUCAAGUCCUCAUGGCCCUUAUGACCAGGGCUUCACACGUCAUACAAUGGUCGGUACAGAGGGUAGCCAAGCCGCGAGGUGGAGCCAAUCUCACAAAACCGAUCGUAGUCCGGAUUGCACUCUGCAACUCGAGUGCAUGAAGUCGGAAUCGCUAGUAAUCGCAGGUCAGCAUACUGCGGUGAAUACGUUCCCGGGUCUUGUACACACCGCCCGUCACACCAUGGGAGUGGGGGAUACCAGAAGUAGGUAGGGUAACCGCAAGGAGCCCGCUUACCACGGUAUGCUUCAUGACUGGGGUGAAGUCGUAACAAGGUAGCCGUAGGGGAACCUGCGGCUG
rnacentral:rRNA from 1 species